rnacentral:lncRNA from 1 species
AUGUAUUGUACAAUCCUAUUUUGUUUUUUAUCAGAAUCAUUUUUGGGGUUUCCCUUACCAAAGCAUGGUUUUGAAAGUGGCAGGUGGGUAUAAUUUAUGAGCUUCUGUUGCAGUUCAUUAUGUUCAAAGUCUAUUUAGUUAAUGAAUUAAUUAACUACAUUUUUCUGAAAGUACCAGUUAAAUUUGAUAAAACAGAGAGAUUCAUAAGGAAGAGUCAUAAAAACUGAACUACUAUAUAUGCAUAAAGAAAUAUCCUGUCAUCCCUCAUCAAAUAACAAUUAUGCUACAUGGAAGAUGAUUGUUUAGAGUUUAGACAUGCUAGAUUUUUUAAUAAGGAGCAUACAGAUUUUUUGUAAAAAAAGACCUCUAGUAUUUAGCAGCCUGAUACUUGUUCCUUUACUUUUUUCAAUUACUCUUAUUUCUGAAGUGGUAUGAAACAUGUUUUUUCUGUAUUGACCAAUAUUAUGUUAAAUUAAAGCAAUUUUAUAAAGAAUUUCUGAAGAAGUCAUGCUUAUAAUGUAUGUGAAAAAUUAUCAAAAGAUGGUUACUUUAUUCAAUGUUUUUGACAAAUACUGAAAAGGAAAGAAUUGGACAAAAUGAAAUAUCUGAUCACAGUCUACAGAGCAGAUCUACAUUCAUCAUGUUUUUUGUAGUUGUAUGAUGUAGGGAUGACUCAAACCCUUUACAGAAAUAUUAAUUGUUUAAAUAUGUAUGUUAUUCUAAGAUAUAUUGAGCCAAAUAUGAACAGUGCAAUAUUGUUGUUGUGUAAUGUUUGUUAAAUGACCCAUCAUGUUUUGAAAAAUUGAAACA